rnacentral:sRNA from 1 species
GCCAGGCACAGUGGCAUAUGCCUGUAAUCCCAGUGAUUUUGGAGGCUGAGGCAGGAGGAUUACAAGUUCAAAGCCAGCCACAGCAACUUAGUGAGGCUCUAAGCAGUUUAGUGAGAUCCUGUCUCGA